CUUGUCUGGUGAUCGAAAUAACUUACUUUCCCUUGCUUCAUCUCUCCUCAUAUCUCUCAAAACUUCCCCGAUUUCAAAACCCUAAUAAUCGUCACCAGAAAUUUAAUUCUCCAUCCGUGAUCAAAGACAAACCCUAGAACUAGUGUUGGAUUUCUUUUUGUUAUGGGCAUUUCGCAGUAUUACAUCUAUAAAGCAGCUAAUGUCAGGCCGAAUUGUAUUGGUAAUGAAACGUGGGGUGAGGGUAUAGAGACAAGAGACAAGUAGAACAUGGUCAAGAAAUUGUAUGCGCUGAGCACAACUAUUUCCCAGAGAAUGAAUAAUCAUCUUGUUAAAUUUUAAUGGCUUAGCUAACAACAGAGAAGAUAUUUCGGAUGCCAAUUCUUCGGUUAGUCAUUAGUUUUAUAAUGUAUCCAUAUAUGGCGCCAGUGUUUAAAAAGCGCUUCGCCUAGGCGUGCAUUUGAGCGCGUCAUACCAAAAACGCAUCAGUGUGAAUCCCAGUUACCCAGUAAACAGGCCUAAGGUUUGUUGGACUUUUUUUUUAACCUUAUGGUCUGAUGAAGAAGAAGAUUUAUCCAUGAGGCAUGAUGCAGACGUUCCUGGUUAGUGUUUUCUAAAUAGCUCUUGUUUAGAAUAAGGAAAUAUGCGAAUAUGCUUAGUUAGUUAAGUUGAGAACUUCUUAGGAAAAUAUUUUGCCUCGCGCGCUGCUUGAGCAUUUUUUAUCUAGCAACAUCACAAACCAAUAGUGUUUUCUAAUGGCUGGUUAUGAUGCUGCUAGAUAAAAAAUGUUCGAACAGUGUGCGAGCAAAAUAGUUUCCAUUUACCUAUAUUAUUAUUUGCGAGGCACCUCAUCGGUAACGCAUUGGUGUAUUAAUUUUUGUGAGGCACCGCAUCGAUAACCAGUGAUGGAGGCAUAUGGAGACCCCACUUGUUUUCCAAAGAAUCCCAGCAAGCUAUGCUCCUGGAAAAAGUGAAUGAGUAAGUUACAGAAGUGAGAAACACCUCCCAACUUGGUGUCCCAGAAAAUGCUCCUCUUUCUGAUGGUGCUCUUACUCGGUGUUAUAUUUCCACCGCGAAAAACCUCCUAUUCCUCGUCCUAAUCUGAAACGUGACUGGUUGACAGAACUUCGUAAUCGUGCAGCUUUAGAGUUAAUCGACAAUAAUGAGGCUGAGGCUAAAGCUAAAGCUGAGGCUAAGCUGCGUGAACUAGAACUUGAAUAGCUACGUGAAGAUCUAGAGGUGACCGAUGAUAUGGUCAAUUCUGAGGCUAAGCUCCAUGCUCUGUUUUUGAAGUGGCUCUCAUACUUCGAUCACCAUUUUGACGUGGAAGAUGAAAAAGCUUUUAGGUUUAGGUUUGGUAUCUUUAAGGACGCAGCUCGUUCUAUCAACCAGUGGAACAAAGGCGGCCAUGCCUCCACUUGCGGAUUAAACAAGUAUGCAGAUAUGACCCGUAAGGAGUUUGCAACUUGGUCGUGGAAGACCUAUCCGAAGAAAACUAACCAGGUUAUAGCUGAUAUAACCAACUGUCUAGACAAUAAAAAGCUAAUUUAACCAGGUUAUAACUUGUAUAUAUUUCCGAGUUGUCCUGGAUGUGUCUGGGAAGCUUCUAGUUAUUUUGUGGUGAUGCUGUUGCUAAAAACGUCAGGAUUUGAAAUAGAACAGUUGGGUUGAAAAUUGUUUGAAUCUCUCAAAAUUAUAGUUUUUGGUUUGAAACCUUUUUAAAUAUAAAUUCUGUUGUGGA